rnacentral:rRNA from 1 species
CGGUGUUUAACUGGCGUGAUGUGGGACGUCCUACCGGUGGGCUUAGCCUCGCGAGGGGCGGCCCAACUAAUAUCCCGUCGCGGUGCUCUUUACUGAGUGUCGAGUCGGGCCGGUACGUUUACUUUGAACAAAUUAGAGUGCUUAAAGCAGGCUAUCCUCGCCUGAAUACUGCGUGCAUGGAAUAAUGGAAUAGGACCUCGGUUCUAUUUUGUUGGUUUUCGGAACCCCCGAGGUAAUGAUUAAUAGGGACAGAUGGGGGCAUUCGUAUUGCGACGUUAGAGGUGAAAUUCUUGGAUCGUCGCAAGACGGACAGAAGCGAAAGCAUUUGCCAAAAAUGUUUUCAUUAAUCAAGAACGAAAGUUAGAGGUUCGAAGGCGAUCAGAUACCGCCCUAGUUCUAACCAUAAACGAUGCCAGCUAGCGAUCCGCCGAAGUUCCUCCGAUGACUCGGCGGGCAGCUUCCGGGAAACCAAAGCUUUUGGGUUCCGGGGGAAGUAUGGUUGCAAAGCUGAAACUUAAAGGAAUUGACGGAAGGGCACCACCAGGAGUGGAGCCUGCGGCUUAAUUUGACUCAACACGGGAAACCUCACCAGGCCCAGACACCGGAAGGAUUGACAGAUUGAUAGCUCUUUCUUGAUUCGGUGGGUGGUGGUGCAUGGGCCGUUCUUAGUUGGUGGAGCGAUUUGUCUGGUUAAUUCCGAUAACGAACGAGACUCUAGCCUGCUAAAUAGGCGUACCUUAUGGUAUCGCGAAGGCCCCCGGCUUCGGCCGGUGGGUUUUUACUACCAACGUACAAACAAAUCUUCUUAGAGGGCACAGCGCGG